AGUCAUAUGCUUGUCUCAAAGAUUAAGCCAUGCAUGUCUAAGUAUAAACAACUUUAUACUGUGAAACUGCGAACGGCUCAUUAUAUCAGCAAUAAUUUAUUUGAUGGUUCCUUACUACAUGGAUAACUGUGGUAAUUCUAGAGCUAAUACAUGCGUAAAGUCCCGACUCUCGCGGGGAGGGAUGUAUUUAUUAGAUAAAAACCAAUGCGGGUUCUGCCCGGUUUUGUGGUGAAUCAUAGUAACUUUUCGAAUCGCAUGGCUUCACGCCGGCGAUAGUUCAUUCAAAUUUCUGCCCUAUCAGCUUUCGACGGUAGAUUAGUGGCCUACCGUGGCAUUAACG
rnacentral:rRNA from 1 species